AUUCUUGGACAAGGGUGGAAACCCUGAUCCAUCCUUGCCUCGUGUGUGAAGAUGGUCUUCGGAUUUUAAAGCACUUGACUUAGGGAGGAAGGGUCGUUGGCUAAUAUCCACCCAUUUUCACGUUACCGCCAGAAUAAGCAUCGGCGCACCCGGUCCCAGCAGCCUCGGUAAUACAGUGGGUCCAAGCGUUAAUCGGAAUUACUGGGCGUAAAGCGCGCGUAGGUGGUUCAGUAAGAUGGGUGUGAAAUCCCCGGGCUUAACCUGGGAACUGCUUUCAUAACUGCUGGGCUAGAGUACGGUAGAGGGUAGUGGAAUUUCCUGUGUAGCGGUGAAAUGCGUAGAUAUAGGAAGGAACACCAGUGGCGAAGGCGACUACCUGGACUAAUACUGACACUGAGGUGCGAAAGCGUGGGGAGCAAAC
rnacentral:rRNA from 1 species